GACGAACGCUGGCGGCGUGCUUAACACAUGCAAGUCGAACGGAAAGGCCCUGCUUUUGUGGGGUGCUCGAGUGGCGAACGGGUGAGUAACACGUGAGUAACCUGCCCUUGACUUUGGGAUAACUUCAGGAAACUGGGGCUAAUACCGGAUAGGAGCUCCUGCUGCAUGGUGGGGGUUGGAAAGUUUCGGCGGUUGGGGAUGGACUCGCGGCUUAUCAGCUUGUUUGUGGGGUAGUGGCUUACCAAGGCUUUGACGGGUAGCCGGCCUGAGAGGGUGACCGGCCACAUUGGGACGGAGAUACGGCCCAGACUCCUACGGGAGGCAGCAGUGGGGAAUAUUGCACAAUGGGCGGAAGCCUGAUGCAGAAACGCCGCGUGCGGGAUGACGGCCUUCGGGUUGUAAACCGCUUUCGCCUGUGACGAAGCGUGAGUGACGGUAAUGGGUAAAGAAGCACCGGCUAACUACGUG
rnacentral:rRNA from 1 species